rnacentral:rRNA from 1 species
GUCGAACGAGAAAGCCCUUCGGGGUUAUUAAAGUGGCGAACGGGUGAGUAACACGUGGGCAAUCUGCCCUUCGUUGGGGGACAACCGGGGGAAACCCCGGCUAAUACCCCGUAAGCUUGUCGGGUCACAUGGCCUGACAAGGAGAGGUAGCUUCGGCCAUCCGGCGAAGGAGGAGCCCGCGGUACAUUAGCUAGUUGGUGAGGUAACGGCUCACCAAGGCUACGAUGUAUAGCUGGUCUGAGAGGAUGAUCAGCCACACUGGGACUGAGACACGGCCCAGACUCCUACGGGAGGCAGCAGUCGGGAAUCUUGCACAAUGGGCGAAAGCCUGAUGCAGCAACACCGUGUGAGCGAUGAAGGCCCUAGGGUCGUAAAGCUCUGUUUGCGAGGACGAAGGGCGAAGGGUUAAUAGCCCCUAGCCUGACGGUACUUGUACAGAAAGCCCCGGCUAACUACGUGCCAGCAGCCGCGGUAAUACGUAGGGGGCGAGCGUUGUCCGGAAUUAUUGGGCGUAAAGAGCGUGUAGGCGGCUUGGUAAGUCUGCUGUGAAACCUUGGGGCUCAACCCCAAGCGUGCAGUGGAUACUGUCAAGCUAGAGGAUGGUAGAGGCCAGUGGAAUUCCCAGUGUAGCGGUGAAAUGCGCAGAUAUUGGGAGGAACACCAGUAGCGAAGGCGGCUGGCUGGGCCAUUCCUGACGCUGAGACGCGAAAGCUAGGGGAGCGAACAGGAUUAGAUACCCUGGUAGUCCUAGCCGUAAACGAUGAACACUAGUGUGGGGGGAGUCGAAUCCCUCCGUGCCGAAGCCAACGCGUUAAGUGUUCCGCCUGGGGAGUACGGCCGCAAGGCUAAAACUCAAAAGAAUUGACGGGGGCCCGCACAAGCAGCGGAACCAUGUUCUUUAAUUCGAUGCAACGCGAAGAACCUUUACCUGGACUGACAUGCACUGCAGCGCACGGAAACGUGUGACCUUCGA